GCGUGGUAUUUCAGUUGGUUAGAAUGCCUACCUGUCACGCGGGAGGUCGCGAGUUCGAGUCUCGUCCAGAACGCA
rnacentral:tRNA from 1 species